UGAGUAACCUGCCCUAGGCUUUGGGAUAACCCUACGGAAAACGGGGGCUAAUACCGGAUAUUCAUAUGCUGCGGCAUCGUGGUGUGUGGAAAGUUUUGGCGGCUUGGGGAUGGGCUCGCGGCCUAUCAGCUUGUUGGUGGGGUGAUGGCUCACCAAGGCGAUGACGGGUAGCCGGCCUGAGAGGGCGACCGGCCACAUUGGGACUGAGACACGGCCCAGACUCCGUACGGGGAGCA
rnacentral:rRNA from 1 species